GGAGGACCGACAGAUGAACGGAUGACCUGCUUGCUGGGCUUCCCAUUAUUGAUUCUUGAGAAAAAUGAGGACCACUGACCGAUGAGGGAAUUGCUUUACUGAGAUUGAUGAGCCUACCUCAAUACAUCGUCAGGGCUCCAACAGCCUUAUCACACAGAAACUCGAGGAACCGGAAGCGGGGAGGAGGACCGACAGAUGAACGGAUGACCUGCUUGCUGGGCUUCCCAUUACUGACUAUCAGAAAAAUGAGGACCACUGACUGAUGAGGGAAUUGCUCUACUUGGAUUGAUGAGCCUGCCUCAAGACAUCGCCAGGGCUCCAACAGCUUCACCAAACAGAAACCCGAGGAACCGGAAGCAGGGAGGAGGACCGACAGAUGAACGGAUGACCUGCUUGCCGGGCUUCCUAUUCCUGAUUAUUAGAAAAAUGAGGACCACUGACUGAUGAGGGAAUUGCUCUACUGGGAUUGAUGAGCCUGCCUCAAGACAUCGCCAGGGCUCCAACAGCUUCACCAAACAGAAACCCGAGGAACCGGAAGCAGGGAGGAGGACCGACAGAUGAACGGAUGACCUGCUUGCUGGGCUUCCCAUUCCUGAUUAUUAGAAAAAAUGAGGACCACUGACUGAUGAGGGAAUUGCUCUACUGGGAUUGAUGAACCUGACUCAAGACAUCGCCAGGGCUUCAACAGCCUCAUCAAACAGAAACAUGAGGAACCGGAAGCAGGGAGAAGGACCGACAGAUGAACGGAUGACCUGCUUGCCGGGCUUCCCAUUCCUGAUUAUUAGAAAAAUGAGGACCACUGAUUGAUGAGGGAAUUGCUCUACUGGGAUUGAUGAACCUGCCUCAAGACAUCGCCAGGGCUCCAACAGCUUCACCAAACAGAAACAUAAGGAACCGGAAGCAGGGAGGAGGACCGACAGAUGACCUGCUUGCUGGGCCACCCAUUACUGAUUCUUGAGAAAAAUGAGGACCACUGACUGAUGAGGGAAUUGCUUUACUGAGAUUGAUGAGCCUACCUCAAUACAUCGUCAGGGCUCCAACAGCCUUAUCACACAGAAACUUGAGGAACCGGAAGCGGGGAGGAGGACCGACAGAUGAACGGAUGACCUGCUUGCUGGGCUUCCCAUUACUGACUAUCAGAAAAAUGAGGACCACUGACUGAUGAGGGAAUUGCUCUACUGGGAUUGAUGAGCCUGCCUCAAGACAUCGCCAGGGCUCCAACAGCUUCACCAAACAGAAACAUGAGGAACCGGAAGCAGGGAGGAGGACCAACAGAUGAACGGAUGACCUGCUUGCCAGGCUUCCCAUUCCUGAUUAUUAGAAAAAUGAGGACCACUGACUGAUGAGGGAAUUGCUCUACUGGGAUUGAUGAACCUGCCUCAAGACAUCGCCAGGGCUCUAACAGCUUCACCAAACAGAAACAUGAGGAACCGGAAGCAGGGAGGAGGACCGACAGAUGAACGGAUGACCUACUUGCUGGGCUUCCCAUUCCUGAUUAUUAGAAAAAUGAGGACCACUGACUGAUGAGGGAAUUGCUCUACUGGGAUUGAUGAACCUACCUCAAGACAUCGUCUUAACAGGAACAAUCAACAAAGUGAGGACCACUGACUGAUGAGGGAAUUGCUCU
rnacentral:lncRNA from 1 species